CUGCGAUAAGCGCCGGUAAGGUGAUAUGAACCGUUAUAACCGGCGAUACCCGAAUGGGGAAACCCAGUGUGACUCGUCACACUAUCAUUAACUGAAUCCAUAGGUUAAUGAGGCGAACCGGGGGAACUGAAACAUCUAAGUACCCCGAGGAAAAGAAAUCAACCGAGAUUCCCCCAGUAGCGGCGAGCGAACGGGGAGGAGCCCAGAGCCUGAAUCAGCAUGUGUGUUAGUGGAAGCGUCUGGAAAGGCGCGCGAUACAGGGUGACAGCCCCGUACACAAAAGCGCAUGUGCUGUGAGCUCGAUGAGUAGGGCGGGACACGUGGUAUCCUGUCUGAAUAUGGGGGGACCAUCCUCCAAGGCUAAAUACUCCUGACUGACCGAUAGUGAACCAGUACCGUGAGGGAAAGGCGAAAAGAACCCCGGCGAGGGGAGUGAAAAAGAACCUGAAACCGUGUACGUACAAGCAGUGGGAGCACCCUUUGGGUGUGACUGCGUACCUUUUGUAUAAUGGGUCAGCGACUUAUAUUCUGUAGCAAGGUUAACCGAAUAGGGGAGCCGGAGGGAAACCGAGUCUUAAC
rnacentral:rRNA from 1 species